rnacentral:rRNA from 1 species
AAUAGAUACCCGGGUAGUCCACGCCGUAAACGAUGUCGACUUGGAGGUUGUUCCCUUGAGGAGUGGCUUCCGGAGCUAACGCGUUAAGUCGACCGCCUGGGGAGUACGGCCGCAAGGUUAAAACUCAAAUGAAUUGACGGGGGCCCGCACAAGCGGUGGAGCAUGUGGUUUAAUUCGAUGCAACGCGAAGAACCUUACCUACUCUUGACAUCCAGAGAACUUUCCAGAGAUGGAUUGGUGCCUUCGGGAACUCUGAGACAGGUGCUGCAUGGCUGUCGUCAGCUCGUGUUGUGAAAUGUUGGGUUAAGUCCCGCAACGAGCGCAACCCUUAUCCUUUGUUGCCAGCGGUUCGGCCGGGAACUCAAAGGAGACUGCCAGUGAUAAACUGGAGGAAGGUGGGGAUGACGUCAAGGUCAUCAUGGCCCUUACGAGUAGGGCUACACACGUGCUACAAUGGCGUAAUACAAAGAGAAGCGACCUCGCGAGAGCAAGCGGACCUCAUAAAGUACGUCGUAGUCCGGAUUGGAGUCUGCAACUCGACU